rnacentral:misc_RNA from 1 species
GAAAUGCGAUAAUUAAUGUGAAUUGCAGAAUUCAGUGAAUCACCGAGUCUUUGAACGCACAUUGCGCCCCCUGGCAUUCCGGGGGGCAUGCCUGUCCGAGCGUCAUUGCUGCCCUCAAGCACGGCUUGUGUGUUGGGCUUCCGUCCCUGGCAACGGGGACGGGCCCAAAAGGCAGUGGCGGCACCAUGUAUGGUCCUCGAGCGUAUGGGGCUUUGUCACCCGCUCCCGUAGGUCCAGCUGGCAGCUAGCCUCGCAACCAAUCUUUUUAACCAGGUUGACCUCGGAUCAGGUAGGGAUACCCGCUGAACUUAAGC